rnacentral:rRNA from 1 species
GACGAACGCUGGCGGCGUGCCUAAUACAUGCAAGUAGAACGCUGAAGGAGGAGCUUGCUCUUCUGGAUGAGUUGCGAACGGGUGAGUAACGCGUAGGUAACCUGCCUGGUAGCGGGGGAUAACUAUUGGAAACGAUAGCUAAUACCGCAUAACAGUAGAUGUUGCAUGACAUUUACUUAAAAGGUGCAAUUGCAUCACUACCAGAUGGACCUGCGUUGUAUUAGCUAGUUGGUGGGGUAACGGCUCACCAAGGCGACGAUACAUAGCCGACCUGAGAGGGUGAUCGGCCACACUGGGACUGAGACACGGCCCAGACUCCUACGGGAGGCAGCAGUAGGGAAUCUUCGGCAAUGGACGGAAGUCUGACCGAGCAACGCCGCGUGAGUGAAGAAGGUUUUCGGAUCGUAAAGCUCUGUUGUAAGAGAAGAACGAGUGUGAGAGUGGAAAGUUCACACUGUGACGGUAGCUUACCAGAAAGGGACGGCUAACUACGUG